rnacentral:rRNA from 1 species
ACGGCUCAGUAACACGUGGACAACCUACCCUGAAGAGGGGGAUAACCCCGGGAAACUGGGGAUAAUACCCCAUAGGCUAUGGAUGCUGGAAUGCUCUGUAGUUGAAAGGUCCGCCGCUUCAGGAUGGGUCUGCGGCCGAUUAGGUUGUUGUUGGGGUAACGGCCCAACAAGCCUGUAAUCGGUACGGGUUGUGGGAGCAAGAGCCCGGAGAUGGAUUCUGAGACACGAAUCCAGGCCCUACGGGGCGCAGCAGGCGCGAAAACUUUGCAAUGCGAGCAAUCGUGACAAGGGAACUCCGAGUGCCUGUAAAAUCAGGCUGUCCGCCAGUGUAAAUAACUGGCGAAGAAAGGGCCGGGCAAGACCGGUGCCAGCCGCCGCGGUAAUACCGGCGGCUCGAGUGGUGGCCACUAUUACUGGGCUUAAAGCGUUCGUAGCUGGCUUGUUAAGUCUCUGGGGAAAUCUUCCGGCUUAACCGGAAGGCGUCUCAGGGAUACUGGCAGGCUAGGGACCGGAAGAGGUGAGAGGUACUCCAGGGGUAGGAGUGAAAUCCUGUAAUCCUUGGGGGACCACCUGUGGCGAAGGCGUCUCACCAGAACGGCUCCGACAGUGAGGAACGAAAGCUGGGGGAGCAAACCGGAUUAGAUACCCGGGUAGUCCCAGCUGUAAACGAUGCGCGUUAGGCGUAUCGGUGACCACGAGUCACCGAGGUGCCGAAGAGAAAUCGUGAAACGUGCCGCCUGGGAAGUACGGUCGCAAGGCUGAAACUUAAAGGAAUUGGCGGGGGAGCAC